rfam:Streptomyces sp. RSD-27 Contig791, whole genome shotgun sequence.
GGGGAAGCCGGUGCGAAUCCGGCGCUGACCCGCAACCGUGACCCGGCCCGCAGCACGCGGGGCGGGAAGCCGGAAUGCCC